AAAAAAUAUAGAAAGGAAACAGAGAGCAAGGAAGGAAAGAAAAAAAAGAAAGGGAGAAAAGGGAAAUUUUAGAUUUCAAGGUUUGAAAGUUUAAUUGCGAAUGUGGUACCGGAAAUCUCGGCUAAGAAAGGACAAGACAAAGUCAACGGGAGUUAGCUCGAAAAUUAUGGUUAAGGUUAGACAGCUGAAUCAGCAUCCCAGGCCGAUCCCAAAUUCAAUGAGGUAAAGUAUGUUGAGUAUUGGUAAUGGCAUGUACCUAGGAUGUCUUAUGAGAGUCAUUUAGGUUGAGAAAGUAUUGAUAAAAUAAGUAAAUUAUGGUUGGCAAUUGUAUAUAGUAUGAAUUUGAAAUUUGAAAGAAAAAUUCGUUGUAAUUCAAAAUUAGUUUCGAAUUGAUUUUACUGUUCAUAUUAGACCGCGAGGGCCUAUUAAAGGGACGACAUCUUAAAAUUAUGAUGAGCCUAAACGUUUAUAUUUAA